GAAAGAAAUUCAAAGGUGAGCCUGGGAAUUGAAGGCUUUUUCUUUUUCCCACAAAAAUAUCCUCCAGUUCAAGAUAAAACAACCAGCUAGGCACGGUAGCUCACAAACCUAGCACUCAGGAGUCUGAAGCAGGAAAAUAUUAACUUCAAGGGCAGCCUUGUCUACAUAGUAAGACUUGCUUCAAAAAACUAACCAAACACAAAAACUAGCCUCUUCCUCAAGAAGAAGGAAGGGGGGAAGAAACCCAAAAAACAAACAAACAAACAAACAAAAACCCAAACCUUGCAAAAUGGCUAGAAUUUUCAUUUGUCUGUAAGACUAAGAAGACAAAAUUUAGACUUUAGUGAUAGUUGAACAUGUAGUUUUGGAGGCUCCAAGGACUCUUAUAUUUUAUGUUGGGAUCCUAAAGGACUGCACUAUCGUAGGAAGAAUGAACCAGAGGUAGACCACAACCCUCAUAGGAACUAAAGCUCAGACUGAAAGCACUCAACUUGACUUAGUUAUUAUGGUUUUAAUUGCCAAUGCUUCUGCCCAUCUGCAUGCAUAAAGCAAGUGCCCAUCCCCUCCAGAGGAAGGUUAUAUAUAGAACUUCAAAUUAGUACUACUGAUUUUUCAUCUAUAUAAUGGACACGAUUCAGAACCAGGAACAAGAGUUAGCAGAGACAGUUCCAAAGAGGAAUUAGAUAAUAGAGCUAUCAGACAAGGCCCUUCCAGUACCUAUGCUUAGUACAUUUAAGAAAAUUAAAGGCAACACUGAGACUUUUGGCCGAGAAUUAGAAAUCAUAAAAAAGUAACAUUCUAGAACUGAAAAUACAGCAACUGAAGUGAAGGCAUCAGCAUAAGAAUUAAAUAGCAUGUUAGAGAAAAUUGAAGGGUGAGUCAAUCUUUGGAAAAUAGAAGAAAGUUUAGACUCAAGCAUAGAAAGAGACAAAAAGACCAAAAAAAUUACAGAAAAAAAUGAUGUAUUAGUUUCAAAGGUGACUGUGAAAGCAUCCGUCUCUGUAUGCCUUUUACUGUAUGGCUUAUGAUCGUGUCUCUUAUCAUCAAGAGGAGACAUCCUCUUUUUCACCCUUUAUGUUCCAAUUGUCCUUUCAAUUUAUUUUGACCAACGAAAGGAAGCAGAAAUUCUGAAGCUUACAUUUCAAGUGGUUGUGUUGUUUAUAUAUCUUGCCUAAUUGGAAUGAGCCCUCAACUGCUAUUUGCAGAAUACAUUCUACCCUUCUAGAGAAAGGGAAACCAUGAAGCAGAGAAGAAUCCUUUAGCCAAGGCCUCUGAAUCCUACUGGAUUACUGUUGUCACCAUAUUUGAAUAUUCCAGGGAGUUUUUAUAGACAAUCCAACCCUAGUUGAGUGCACAAGUGACAGAUUUACCAGCUAAGUCUAGCUCAAAUUACUGUCCAAAGUCACUAGGUUUUUGUUUUUUUUUUUCUCUAUUGUUUUUAAGUUCGCUAGCUAGAGCCAUUGGUCAGUAAUAGAAAGUUUGCCCAGCAUACAUUAGGCUCUAGAUUUGAUCCCUAGUACUGCUAGACAAAUAAGCACAAUAAAGGGAAACCAGUGUCAAAGCAUGACUGAGAGAGGAAGUGAUAGCAAAAGGUGUGAUGCUACCACCAUGAAACAGGUGACACUAUUUUAGAAUAAUUAGCUCAUGGGCUAAAUAUGCUGAAAAGGGUAUUAAUAACAUUGUAGGGAUGGUGUACUGGCUAGUUUUGUGUCAACUUGACACAGCUGGAGUUACCACAGAGAAAGGAGCUUCAGUUGAGGAAAUGCCUCCAUGAGAUCCAACUCUAAGGCAUUUUCUCAAUUAGUGAUCAAGGGGGAAAGGCCCCUUGUGGGUGGGACCAUCUCUGGGCUGGUAGUCUUGGUUCUAUAAGAGAGCAGGCUGAGCAAGCCAGGGGAGGCAAGCUAGUAAGGAACAUCCCUCCAUGGACUCUGCAUCAGCUCCUGCUUCCUGACCUGCUUGGGUUCCAGUCCUGACUUCCUUUGGUGAUGAACAGCAGUAUGGAAGUGUAAGCUGAAUAAACCCUUUCCUCCCCAAUUUGUUUCUUGGUCAUGAUGUUUGUGCAGGAAUAGAGACCCUGACUAAGACAGAUGGUGAGCACACUGUUAAUGGGGCUAGAAAGUAGUAGAGUGUUAUUAAUAGAAUCUGAAAACAAGAUUGCCCACAUUCUGUAAUAGUGGAACAACUGGCAAAAACUAUUAUCUGAGAUAACUUAAAAGAUAAUGAAGUUCAGAGCUGGAGAGAUGACUUGGCUGUUUACAACAUGAACUGCUCUUGUAGAGUACUAGAGUUAAGUUCCCAGCACUAUCUGGUGAGUCACAACUGCCUGUAAUUCUAGCUCAGGGACAUCUGAUGUCUUUGUCUGGCCUCUAAGGGCACUUGGACUCUUGUGCACAUACCAUCACACAGACAUACAUAUAAUUAAAUAAUAAUAAUUUUAAAAACUUAAAAAGAUAAUAUAAUUUAUGAAGUCAUAAAUCUGAUUAAGAAGAUCUCAAAACGAAAUAUUGAAAAUAUCUAUUAAUGAUGAGUAUAAUUAUAAAAGGUGAGGCCUUGGGUGUGUACCCCAGGUGUUAACAUGCUUGUUUUAGCAUGCAUGAGCAUCACAUAAACUGUACAUGGUUAUAUAUGCCUGUAUUCUCAGCACUCAAGGAAGCAGAGGAGGAUCAGGAUUUGUAGGUCCUCCUCAGAUACCUAUUGAGUUAAACACACAGCCUGGCUACUUGAGACAUUGUAUCAAAAGCAAUAGGGGCUGGAGAAUGGCUCUGAAGUUCAGAGCACUGACUGCUUUUCCAGAGGGCCUGGCUUUGAUUCCCAGCACUCAAGUGGGCGCUCACAGUCAGUCUCAGGGGAUCUCCCAUCUGCCCUUCUCAAACACCAGGUACUCAUGUGGUGCAUAGAUACAAUGCAAGCAAAUCAUCCAUACACAUAAAAUCCCU
rnacentral:lncRNA from 1 species